ensembl:snoRNA
UCUCUUGAAUGACUUUAAAAUAGUGCCACGUUUCUGGGCCACUGAUCUUAGUGAUGGGAUUGAAGAGUGA